AACGAACGCUGGCGGCAUGCCUAACACAUGCAAGUCGAACGAGACCUUCGGGUCUAGUGGCGCACGGGUGCGUAACGCGUGGGAACCUGCCCUUAGGUUCGGAAUAACUCCCCGAAAGGGGUGCUAAUACCGGAUAAUGUCUUCGGACCAAAGAUUUAUCGCCUUUGGAUGGGCCCGCGUUGGAUUAGCUAGUUGGUAGGGUAAAAGCCUACCAAGGCGACGAUCCAUAGCUGGUCUGAGAGGAUGAUCAGCCACACUGGGACUGAGACACGGCCCAGACUCCCACGGGGGGGGGAAGUGGGGAAAAUUGGACAAAGGGGGAAAACCUGUGCCCCAAAUGCCCCGUGAGUGUGAUAAGGCCUAGGGUUUUAAAAAUCUUUUUCCCCGGAUGUUAAAAAGAGUGCCCGGGGAAAAAGCGCCCGGUAAAACCAC
rnacentral:rRNA from 1 species